UACACGACCGUACCGCAAACCGACACUGGUGCGCGAGAUGAGUAUUCUAAGGCGCUUGAGAGAACUCGGGAGAAGGAACUCGGCAAAUUGACACCGUAACUUCGGAAGAAGGUGUGCCUUUAGUAGGUGAACCAUUUACUUGGGGAGCCCAAUGAGGUUGCAAAAAUCGGUGGCUGCGACUGUUUAUUAAAAACACAGCACUCUGCAAACACGAAAGUGGACGUAUAGGGUGUGACGCCUGCCCGGUGCUGGAAGAUUAAAUGAUGGGGUGCAAGCUCUUGAUUGAAGUCCCAGUAAACGGCGGCCGUAACAAUAACGGUCCUAAGGUAGCGAAAUUCCUUGUCGGGUAAGUUCCGACCUGCACGAAUGGCGUAACGAUGGCCACACUGUCUCCUCCCGAGACUCAGCGAAGUUGAAAUGUUUGUGAUGAUGCAAUCUCCCCGCGGAAAGACGGAAAGACCCCAUGAACCUUUACUGUAGCUUUGUAUUGGACUUUGAACAGAUCUGUGUAGGAUAGGUGGGAGGCUUUGAAGUAGGGUCGCUAGAUCUUAUGGAGCCAACGUUGAAAUACCACCCUGGUGUGUUUGAGGUUCUAACCUAGGUCCAUUAUCUGGAUCGGGGACAGUGCAUGGUAGGCAGUUUGACUGGGGCGGUCUCCUCCCAAAGCGUAACGGAGGAGUUCGAAGGUACGCUAGUUACGGUCGGACAUCGUGACGAUAGUGCAAUGGCAUAAGCGUGCUUAACUGCGAGACUGACAAGUCGAGCAGAUGCGAAAGCAGGACAUAGUGAUCCGGUGGUUCUGUAUGGAAGGGCCAUCGCUCAACGGAUAAAAGGUACUCUGGGGAUAACAGGCUGAUACCGCCCAAGAGUUCAUAUCGACGGCGGUGUUUGGCACCUCGAUGUCGGCUCAUCUCAUCCUGGGGCUGUAGCCGGUCCCAAGGGUAUGGCUGUUCGCCAUUUAAAGAGGUACGUGAGCUGGGUUUAAAACGUCGUGAGACAGUUUGGUCCCUAUCUUCCGUGGGCGCUGCAGAUUUGAGGAAGCCUGCUCCUAGUACGAGAGGACCGGAGUGGACACACCUCUGGUGUAUCGGUUGUCACGCCAGUGGCAUUGCCGAGUAGCUAAGUGUGGAAGAGAUAACCGCUGAAAGCAUCUAAGCGGGAAGCUCGUUUCAAGAUGAGAUCUGCCGGGGCCUUGAGCCCCCUAAAGAGUCGUUCAAGACCAGGACGUUGAUAGGUCAGGUGUGGAAGCGCAGUAAUGCGUUAAGCUAACUGAUACUAAUUGCUCGUGCGGCUUGACCC
rnacentral:rRNA from 1 species